rfam:Hordeum vulgare subsp. vulgare, WGS project CAJW01000000 data, contig: morex_contig_2316492
UAAUUACUCCCUCCGUCCGGAAAAUACUUGUCCUAAAAAUGCAUAUAAUGGAUGUAUCUACAAUUAAAGUAAGUCUAGAUACAUUCAUCUCUAGGACAAGUAUUUCCGGACGAAGUUAGUAUAAG